rnacentral:rRNA from 1 species
UGGGGAAUUGUUCGCAAUGGGCGCAAGCCUGACGACGCAACGCCGCGUGGAGGAUGAAGAUCUUCGGGUCGUAAACUCCUGUCGAGCGGGACGAACGGUCCGUGGGUGAAUAGCCUGCGGAAGUGACGGUACCGCUAAAGGAAGCCCCGGCUAACUCCGUGCCAGCAGCCGCGGUAAUACGGGGGGGGCAAGCGUUGUUCGGAAUUACUGGGCGUAAAGGGCUCGUAGGCGGCCAACUAAGUCAGACGUGAAAUCCCUCGGCUCAACCGGGGAACUGCGUCUGAGACUGGAUGGCUUGAAUCCGGGAGAGGGAUGUGGAAUUCCAGGUGUAGCGGUGAAAUGCGUAGAUAUCUGGAGGAACACCGGUGGCGAAGGCGGCAUCCUGGACCGGUAUUGACGCUGAGGAGCGAAAGCCAGGGGAGCAAACGGGAUUAGAUACCCCCGUAGUCC